rnacentral:rRNA from 1 species
AGUCGUAACAAGGUUUCCAUCGGUGAACCUGCGGAAGGAUCAUU